GUCUCGGUGAAGAACUCUAGACCAGGAAGUGCCGCAUGACACUAACAGCCGCUGCUUUGCUGCUGCUGUAAGUGUACAUCCCUCUAUCUAUACCUCUCUGGUUUGUUGUGGGGUGUAUAUCCCAUUUGCAACUGCUUGUUUCAGCUGUAUGUGUGAUUCGAAAUGUGUCUCUGAGGGC
rfam:Triticum aestivum genome assembly, contig: Triticum_aestivum_CS42_TGACv1_scaffold_307951_4AS